ensembl:lncRNA LINC01093 long intergenic non-protein coding RNA 1093
AAGCCACACCUUGUGACACUGAGCCUCAGGAGGACAACGUCAGAAACCAAAAGCUCCUCUGCCCAGGGAUGGGGACCCGCCGACUUCAAGGGCAGAACAGGUGCCUGGCUAGUGGGGGAGUUCCCCAAUGUGGAUUUAAACUGUAGUGUCUUCAGAGAACAUAACCAACAUUUGUCUUUAGGAGAUGUGUUUGUUUGAGUAGAUCAGCUAUGAAAAUACCCAGCCGGCCUGCAGCCCUCCCGGCAGAUGCUGAAAAGGAAACCCGACUGGGAGAUGCCGCCCACCCUUAUCCCCAGAGAGCUGCGUUGUUUCCUCUUGCCUUGGCCUUUGGAUCCGGCCAUAGCAAGCAUCCCUGGGCACCUGGCUGAAGCUGGAAACUCGGGAUAAGAAUGGAAGCCCUGGAAGGGAAGAAGAACCGAGGAGUGAGCUUGCCCUGAGGACAGCACAUUGCACUCUCACCUCCUUUGCAGUUAAGUGUGAAAUAGUGCCAAUAGAGUGUAAAAGAAAAGAAAGAAGAUGAUUCACCUCCCAAAGAUUCCCCACUGCUGUGUCCCUUCUAUCAACUUGAUACAAAAAAACACAAUGGCCCCGGGAACCACGUGUUGAAGAUGAGAGAGCUAAAAGAUGGAAAGAGACUGGAGCCCUGAGUCACCACCUGGAGGAAAACUACCCACCCAUCAGGAAUUUCUACUACACAUUUGGGAGUUUUUGGGGUUACAGCAGCUAAUUUAACGAAAACACCCAGAGACAAGAGCUAUUACUGCACAAAUUGGUUAAGUUACCUUUUUGUAUGUUUGGGUCCUCUCUAUUCGAUGAGACUGCGCGUUCCUUUGAAGCAAAUCUGUUUAAAAUUCUUAUAUCCCCAGAGGGCCUAGCAGAGAGUAUGCACAGAGUGAGCCUUCAGUAAAUGCUGAGUAAAUAAGCUCCUAA